rnacentral:rRNA from 1 species
UACGAGGGGGGCUAGCGUUGCUCGGAAUGACUGGGCGUAAAGGGCUCGUAGGCGGCCAACUAAGUCAGACGUGAAAUCCCUCGGCUCAACCGGGGAACUGCGUCUGAUACUGGAUGGCUUGAGUUCGGGAGAGGGAUGCGGAAUUCCAGGUGUAGCGGUGAAAUGCGUAGAUAUCUGGAGGAACACCGGUGGCGAAGGCGGCAUCCUGGACCGACACUGACGCUGAGGAGCGAAAGCCAGGGGAGCAAACGGG